UUUGGGAGUAAUUUGUUAUUAUUCACUGUUAAUAUUUGGAUAAAGAAACCCGGAGUGGUAAAUAUCCAAAAUAAUUUUCUAGGAAUAAUAAAUCCGCACACAUCCUAGGAAACUGAUGGGAUUAGAGAACAUCAACACCAUUAAUAAUUGAAGGAAAAUCAAACACCAAGCAGCUUACCUUAGGUAGGGCGUACUAGGGGUGCUAAAACCUUCCCUUUACGCAACCAGUCCCUUGCCUUAGAAUCUCUGAAAGACCAGUUAGGUUUCCUAGUGACCAUAAUACUAGGUGGCGACUCCCUUUUUCACAACAGAAAGACCCCAACAAUCAAUCCCCGCUACGAAGGACGGGUCGCCGCGACGUCGAGCUCUCGGGAGGGUGCG
rnacentral:lncRNA from 1 species